rnacentral:rRNA from 1 species
AAAAGAUUUUAAUAAAGCAAAUGGUGGAUGCCUUGGUCGCUAAAGCCGAAGAAGGACGCAGAAGACAGCGAAAUACAUUGAGGAGUUGCCAACAAACGUUGAUCCAAUGGAAUCCGAAUGGGGAAACCCUGGUCCGGUAAAUCGGACUGAUCCUGGCGCAAGUCGGGAAGGUAAGUCGGGGAACUGAAACAUCUAAGUACCCGGAAGAAAAGAAAUCGUAUGAGAUUCCGUUAGUAGCGGUGAGCGAAACCGGAACAGCCCAAACUUCUAAUUUAUUAGGAGGGUUGCAGGGUCUAGUUGUAUGACAGGAAACAAUAAAAGAACGCCGUGGAAUAGGCGGCCGAAGACGGUGAAAGCCCCGUAUUUUAAAUUUAAGUACUGUUUUGACUGGAUACCUAAGUACCGCGGUCCACGUGUAAUGUCGCGGGAAUCUGGGGAGACCAAUCUCCAAGGCUAAAUACUUUAGCGGACCGAUAGUGAACUAGUACCGUGAGGGAAAGGUGAAAAAUACCCAUAUAUGGGGAUGAAAUAAAUCUGAAACCAUUUGCUAACAAACAGACAAAGCCGUCCGUCGCCGCAAGGCUAUGGAUCGGUGAUGUCGUGCCUAUUGAAGAAUGAGCCUGCGAGUGUUUCUAGUCAUCAAGUCUAAUUCUGCUAAGCAGAAGGAGGCGGAGCGAAAGCGAGUCUGAAUAAGGCGAUUAGAUGGCUGGAUAUGACCCGAAACCGGUUGAGCUAACCUUGAGCAGGGUGAACUUUGGCGAAAGCCAAGGGGAGGCCCGAACUGAUUACAGCUGCAAAUGUAUCGGAUGACUUGAGGUUAGGGGUAAUAUGCCAAUCGAAACCGGAGAUAGCUGGCUCUCUCCGAAAUAUAUAUAGGUAUAGCGUCUAGUGUUCCCUUGUGGGGGUAGAGCUACUGGAUGAAUGUUUGUAGCGCAAGCUACGGCAUUUAACCAAACUCCGAAUACCAUAAGGUUAAACUAGGCAGUCAGUCCGACCGGGCUAAGCUGGCCGGGCAAAAGGGGAAGACCCCAGACUCUCAUCUAAGGUCUCUAAAUUUUUGUUAAGUGGGAAAGGGAGUGAUUUUCCUAAGACAGUCAGGAGGUUGGCUUAGAAGCAGCCAUCCUUUAAAGAAAGCGUAACAGCUCACUGAUCGACCCCGUAAGGGGUCGGAAAAUCGCACCGAAAAUGUAACGAGGCUAAAACAAAAUACCGAAGAUGGAGGAACGUAAAAUUUCGCAAGAAAUUAACGUUCGGUAGGAGAGCGUUCUGGUAGCGGUGAAGGUCUGGCGAAAGCUUGGCUGGAGCGACCAGAAGUGAGAAUGCAGGCAUGAGUAACGAAAUCAGAGUGAGAACCUCUGACGUCGAAAUAUCCAAGGUUUCCUCAGCUAUGUUGUUCAUCUGAGGGUUAGGCGAUCCUAACAUGAGGCCAGUCAAUCUGGCGUAGUGGAUGGAUAACCGGUUAAUAUUCCGGUCCUUUCUUAUGUUCGUUUUAAUUUGGGUCGAGACGAUGUGUGGAAGAUUUGGUCUUGCAGUGAAAUUGCAGGAUUUAAGUGUUGAGCUAGAAGGGGUAGGCAAAUCCGCCUUUUCGUUAUAAAGCAAUACACGAAUAAAAGCCCGAGUAAUCGGGCAAUCAGAUUGAACCCAUGUAUCCGAGAAAAGCGGCGCAAAUAGAGCAUAGGAAAUUCGUACUAAAACCGACACUGGUGGAUAAGUCGAGUAGACUAAGACGAUUGGAAGACAGAUGGUUAAGGAACUUGGCAAAUUAACUGGGCGUAAGCUAUGCAAGAUGCCCUGCCCGGGAUAACACCCGGGCUACAACAAAAGAAUGUACGGCGACUGUUUACCACAAACACAGGUCCAUGCUAACCCGUAAGGGGAUGUAUAUGGGCUGAAACCUGACCGGUGCUAGAAGGUUAAAUGAGAGAGUGAUAGUCGAUUUAUCGAUUUGAGCUUUUGAUUGAAGCCCUAGUGAACGUCAGCAGUAACUCUAACUGUUCUAAGGUAGCGAAGUCCUUUGUCGUGUAAGUUACGACACGUAUGAAAGGUUUAACGACCGUACAACUGUCUUAACCAUCUAUCCAGUGAAAUUGAAAGAGCGGUGAAGAUGCCGUUUAAUUACAACAGGACAAAAAGACCCCAUGAAGCUUUACUGGAUCUUUACAUUGAUAAGGAUUUGAUGAUUGUCGAGCGUAGGAGGGAGCCUUCGGGCACCAAUGGAACACCUCCCUUUAUCAUUUCUGAAUCUAACCUACUCCGAUGGAACUCGGAGAGGGACCGUGUAUGGUUGCUAGUUUGCCUGGGGCAGGCACCUGCAAAAGAGUAACGCGGGUAUACAAAGGUUGGUUUGGUCCGGCUGGAAAUCGGGCCGUAAGUGUAAAAGCAUAAACCAGCUUGACUGUGAGACUUACUAGUCGAAGUCCCGUAAGGGACGUUCCAAGCAAUUUGAUUUUGGAAUCAGGGUCGAAAGACGGUUUUAGUGAUCCUCGUGACCCAUUUGGUAUGGGCACGGGCUUACUGGAUAAAAGCUACUCUGGGGAUAACAGGCUAGUCACGUCCGAUAGUUCAUAUUGACGACGUGGUUCGGCACCUCGAUGUCGACUUGGCGCAUCCUGGCCCUGAAGAAGGGGCCAAGGGUUGGUCUGUUCGCCCAUUAAAGCGCUGCGUUAGUUGGGUUCAGAGCGUCGCGAGACAGCUCGGUCUCUAUCCGUUGUAAUCGUUCGAUUCUUGAGGGGAUUCGUCUACAGUACGAGAGGACCUAGACGAGGAAACCGCUGGCGUGCCAGUUGUUCCGUCAGGAGCAUUGCUGGGUAACCACGUUUCUAUAAGAUAACUGCUGAAAGCAUCUCAAGCAGGAAGCUGACCCCAAGAUAAGGAAUCGUAUCUCGAGUAAUCGAGAGAGAGAUCGCCGGGAGACUACCGGUUAAUACUUUGCAAGUGGAAGGCCCGUAAGGGUUUAAGCUAAGCAAUGGAAAGAUCGAAGAAAUCUUUUUU